rnacentral:rRNA from 1 species
GAUGAACACUAGCGAUAGGCUUAACACAUGCAAGUCGAGGGGCAGCAUGGUCUUAGCUUGCUAAGACUGAUGGCGACCGGCGCACGGGUGCGUAACGCGUAUGCAACUUGCCUCACAGAGGGGGAUAACCCGUCGAAAGACGGACUAAUACCGCGUACACUCCAUCUUGGGCAUCCAAGGUAGGGGAAAUGAAAUUCGCUGUGAGAUAGGCAUGCGUCCCAUUAGCUAGUUGGUGAGGUAACGGCUCACCAAGGCGACGAUGGGUAGGGGAACUGAGAGGUUGGACCCCCACACUGGUACUGGGACACGGACCAGACUCCUACGGGAGGCAGCAGUGAGGAAUAUUGGUCAAUGGGCGAGAGCCUGAACCAGCCAAGUCGCGUGAAGGAUGACUGUCUUAUGGAUUGUAAACUUCUUUUAUACGGGAAUAACAAGAGUCACGUGUGACUCCCUGCAUGUACCGUAUGAAUAAGCAUCGGCUAACUCCGUG